rnacentral:rRNA from 1 species
CCUACGUGAGGCAGCAGUGGGGGAUAUUGCACAAUGGGGGAAACCCUGAUGCAGCGACGCCGCGUGGGCGAAGAAGUAUUUCGGUAUGUAAAGCACUAUCAGCGGGGAAGAAGAAAUGACGGUAACUGAGGAAGAAGCACCGGCUAAAUACGUGCAAGCAGCCGGGGUAAUACGGAUGGUGCAAGCGGUAUUCGGAUUUACGGGGGGGAAGGGGAGCGCAGGCGGCGCGGCAAGGCAGAUGUGAAAGCCCGCGGCCCAACCGCGGGACUGCAUUUGGAACUACCGGGCUGGAGUGUCGGAGAGGUAGGCGGAAUUCCUGGUGUAGCGGUGAAAUGCGUAGAUAUUAGGAGGAAUACCAGUGGCGAAGGCGGCCUACUGGACGGUGACUGACGCUGAGGCUCGAAAGCGUGGGGAGCAAACAGGAUUAGAUACCCGUGUAGUC